CAGUCGCCGCGGUAAUACGAAGGGGGCUAGCGUUGUUCGGAUUUAAUGGGCGUAAAGCGCACGUAGGCGGACUUUUAAGUCAGGGGUGAAAUCCCGGGGCUCAACCCCGGAACUGCCUUUGAUACUGGAAGUCUUGAGUAUGGUAGAGGUGAGUGGAAUUCCGAGUGUAGAGGUGAAAUUCGUAGAUAUUCGGAGGAACACCAGUGGCGAAGGCGGCUCACUGGACCAUUACUGACGCUGAGGUGCGAAAGCGUGGGGAGCAAACAGGAUUAGAUACCCGUGUAGUCCCUGUCUCUUAUAC
rnacentral:rRNA from 1 species